GAUAAACUGUGUCUUUUACCGAACGAGAAGAUUGCGCUUGCAUUGAGAGUGCCAUUGUGAUAAACUGUGUCUUUUACCGAACGAGAAGAUUGCGCUUGCAUUGAGAGUGCCAUUGUGAUAAACUGUGUCUUUUACCGAACGAGAAGAUUGCGCUUGCAUUGAGAGUGCCAUUGUGAUAAACUGUGUCUUUUACCGAACGAGAAGAUUGCGCUUGCAUUGAGAGUGCCAUUGUGAUAAACUGUGUCUUUUACCGAACGAGAAGAUUGCGCUUGCAUUGAGAGUGCCAUUGUGAUAAACUGUGUCUUUUACCGAACGAGAAGAUUGCGCUUGCAUUGAGAGUGCCAUUGUGAUAAACUGUGUCUUUUACCGAACGAGAAGAUUGCGCUUGCAUUGAGAGUGCCAUUGUGAUAAACUGUGUCUUUUACCGAACGAGAAGAUUGCGCUUGCAUUGAGAGUGCCAUUGCGAUAAACUCUGUCUGACUACACAUCAUUGCAAAAGGGAAAAACUCAUACGAUUUUCAUUGAAUAAGACCAAAAGCUAUAGUACCUGCCACCUGGUGUUCGACGAAUUUCCCAAUGAAAAAUGCCCACUUGCUUUCUUCGCUUAUUUACAGCAGAAAUUUUACCAGUCUAGCUACCAAAUACAAGGAUGUCAAUAUGGAAAGCAAAUGCUCAAGAGAUUGAAUUCAAUCAUAAUUGUCUCACUGAAAAAAGGACAAGGGGUUUGGAGAUGGAAUUUCAAGGAAUGAAUAGCUUACUGUUUCUCUGCCACUUCCUUUUCCAAAACAAGACCAAGGCUAGGCCCAAGAACAGCAGCCCUGCAGAUAACACACAGCUUACAACGAUCCGUAUGUGGUAGUCUGGACGUCAGGCAGUUAAGAGCAGAAAACUGGGAGUUAAGAUAUUGAAAUAAUAGAAAACUCAGCCAGUUGAAGCUCUAUAUAUAUGUUUUCUGGAAGACACUUAGAAGCUUUUUGAAGUCCCACCACCGUGGCAUCCAAAUUCAUAUGUAAAGUGGUUCAUUGUCUGUAGAUAACUAAGUUUCUAGAUUUAGAAGUCAUAAAUUCUGCUUCAGG